rnacentral:rRNA from 1 species
AGAGUUUGAUCAUGGCUCAGAGCGAACGCUGGCGGCAGGCUUAACACAUGCAAGUCGAGCGGGUGUAGCAAUACAUCAGCGGCAGACGGGUGAGUAACGCGUGGGAACGUACCUUUUGGUUCGGAACAACCCAGGGAAACUUGGACUAAUACCGGAUAAGCCCUUACGGGGAAAGAUUUAUCGCCGAAAGAUCGGCCCGCGUCUGAUUAGCUAGUUGGUGAGGUAAUGGCUCACCAAGGCGACGAUCAGUAGCUGGUCUGAGAGGAUGAUCAGCCACAUUGGGACUGAGACACGGCCCAAACUCCUACGGGAGGCAGCAGUGGGGAAUAUUGGACAAUGGGGGCAACCCUGAUCCAGCCAUGCCGCGUGAGUGAUGAAGGCCCUAGGGUUGUAAAGCUCUUUUGUGCGGGAAGAUAAUGACGGUACCCGCAGAAGAAGCCCCGGCUAACUUCGUGCCAGCAGCCGCGGUAAUACGAAGGGGGCUAGCGUUGCUCGGAAUCACUGGGCGUAAAGCGCACGUAGGCGGCUUUUUAAGUCAGGGGUGAAAUCCUGGAGCUCAACUCCAGAACUGCCUUUGAUACUGAGAGGCUUGAGUCCGGGAGAGGUGAGUGGAACUGCGAGUGUAGAGGUGAAAUUCGUAGAUAUUCGCAAGAACACCAGUGGCGAAGGCGGCUCACUGGCCCGGUACUGACGCUGAGGUGCGAAAGCGUGGGGAGCAAACAGGAUUAGAUACCCUAGUAGUCC